AACAGGCACCGGGGGCUUUGACAUGUAUCUGAAGGGUCGCUCUUUCUCCGCCUGUCUUCGGAAGAGACCGCUUAGCGGGUACACUCUGAGCUGCAUCAGGGUACUUAGUGUUCCCGAGUAAUCGCAUUUUGGACACAUUUAGAAAUUCUUUGUAUCUCUGCCGACUGAGAGAGAUGCACAGGAAAGAGCAUUUUUGAUGGAAAAUAGGAUCCAUGUAAUAUAAAGGUUGUUGUGACUGUUCUUGUAGGUAAUGUUUUUGUAGGUGUACCUCUGUUAGCUUACUGAAAGAGGAUUUUUGUAGGUGUAGCUCUACUAGCUUGCUGAAAGAAUAUUUGAAUAGCCCUUUCGUUGAGCUUGUUUGUUGCCUGCUUCUGUUUCCCCUUGUGCUCCAUAAAUCAGCAUUUUAUUUGAUCUCAGAAUGUAUUGAGGAUUCACAACCCUGCUUCUUAAUCAUCAAGCUUAAGGUUUUAGUUUUGUGAAAUCACUUGGACUUGUUCAAUUGACGUCCGACUAUGUAAAUAAAUUGCUGGGUAUGCACGGCGCAGAAAAUGAGGAUGUUUUGUAAAAAUGCUUUACAUAUUUUCAUAAUCAAAUAUGACAGCAAUUUAUGUCCCAGAGCUAAAUGUUGCUACCUAAGGCGAUCAGCGUCUUACUCAAAUAGGGCCCAUGUGACUCUGCAGAGUACCUUCAAUCUCAGGUUGAACACAUAGCAGCCUUCCCCAGAAGAUAGAAAUGAGAUUUUUACAAAAUCACCCAUCGCUUACAAAGAAUUGAAUAAAAAGUGACUUUUGUGAUUUAUUUCCCUGUUUCCAUCUGGCUACUUAGAGCAAUUCGGAUAAAUCAAUUUAAUAAAAUAAGAUUUGUGGUAGAUUGUGACACAUCGUUACAGAUGCGGUAAAUGGCCAUUUAUCCAAAAAGUAAACAUUUAAUCUGGGAGUGCCAGUUAAACGUAGAUUAAGAGAGUGUUCAUUUAAAUGAUAUUUGACGCGAAACCUUCCUAUUCCGGUCAUUUAGAUUAGCAGUGUGUCUGCGGCGGUGUGCGCGAACACACUCCAAACAUCUCUAAAUGGCGUACUUUACACGUCUCUUGACACAAGGCGACGUGCACAUGCUCGGAAUGAAAUAGCAGCGCAUGCUAAUAAUUGGCUUAAAGCAAUAAAAUUCAAGGUACGGGAAAAUAUUGAAGGGUCAGGGGGAAAAAAAGCCGACGGAAAGAACAAACGAUGCAAAAAGAAAAUGACACCGGGGUCCUGGUUUAAUAUGUAUGUAUUGCAGGUUGGCGGUUGAUUUCAUUAGCGAAUCUCAUUGUUAUGCAACGACUGCUCUCCUGCAGCAAAAUGAAUACUGUAUUCACACGGCUCGUACGUUCAAGGGAAAACGCGCGGGUUUGGGCGCCGCAUCCUUCGGAAAAAAGGGCCCCUUUCCUCUCCAGCUCCUCGCUUGCUUUUAAUUAUUAUUAUUUUU